UACGGAGGAUGCGAGCGUUAUUCGGAUUUAUUGGGUUUAAAGGGUGCGUAGGCGGAAGUUCAAGUCAGCGGUAAAAUGUCGGGGCUCAACCCCGGCCGGCCGUUGAAACUGGCAGGCUAGAGACGGCGAGAGGUAUGCGGAAUGCGCAGUGUAGCGGUGAAAUGCAUAGAUAUCACGCAGAACUCCGAUUGCGAAGGCAGCAUACCGGCGCUCAACUGACGCUCAUGCACGAAAGUGUGGGUAUCGAACAGG
rnacentral:rRNA from 1 species